AUUGUGAAAACUGAUCUCGCGAUCAAACCAAUCUGAUAGGCCUACCAACGCGAUAUUGUGGUUGUAGUUUUUAUUUUAAACAGCUCAACGAAAGUUGAGCAUCACCUAAAACUACAAGUUCCAAGGCCCAUUGCUUGAUUCAGGGAGGUAUUUGGAAAGCUGCUUGAUUCAACGGCUCACAGCUGAAUUGAAGCUAGACAUGCAUCAACUCUGCUGAUAUCUACAUGGUAGCAACGUUUUUGGUCUGACUUAUUUUGUGUAACUUAGCUAGCUAAAUACAUCAAGGACACACAUAUAGAUACGUUCACACGUUAUCCAUGAAGCCACAGUUCGAUUAUGUUGAGCCUAGGAGGAAGAAGAGUUGGGAGCGUAUCAAACUAAUCUGAAGAGUAAACCUUUCAACAUGAUGAUUUGACCCCGAAAGAGAGCCAACCGCAGCAUCCAGCAGCAGAAGGCAGCACGACUGGAGAGGACUCAUGAACCGAAGGCAACAGAGUGAAGCUGUCAAUCAACUGUGAUCACUCCUGCAAAAGAAACAAAAAGAGAAACUUUUCCUUCAAAGAAAAACUAUUUUCCAAAGGUACUAUCUUCAAGACUGCAUAAGCAUCUAUGAUAAGACUUAAGACAAUUAACACAACGCAGAUGUCUAGAUGUCCUUUCCCUUUAUCAGCCUAGGGCAAUAUAUUUAUUGAUCACCAAAAACCCUAUUGGAAAUGUUAUCACAUUAUGAUUGCAUUAUUGAGUUUAGACACUGGUGGUGUGGCAGAUUAACUAGGUUUUUUCCCACUUUCGGUGGGUGCAGCACUGUUAUUGUCCCAUUGUGAAUUUGUUCAUGACUGACACAGACAAUCUGUAAUCCAUUUUACCAGAGUUGUCAAGAUAAUGUGAGCUCUAGCAUGCCUGCCGUUCAAGACCUGGUCCACAUUCUGCACAACCAGUCAGUACAUCAAGCACCUGGAGGCUGAGGUCCAUUCAUUUUGUUACGUUACAGCCUUAUUAUAAAAUGUAUUUAAUUGUUUUUUCCCCUCACGAAUCUACACACAAUACCCCAUAAUGACAAAGUAAAAACAGGUUU